UACGAAGGGGGCUAGCGUUGCUCGGAAUCACUGGGCGUAAAGGGUGCGUAGGCGGGUUCUUAAGUCAGAGGUGAAAUCCUGGAGCUCAACUCCAGAACUGCCUUUGAUACUGAGAGUCUUGAGUAUGACAGAGGUGAGUGGAACUGCGAGUGUAGAGGUGAAAUUCGUAGAUAUUCGGAAGAACACCAGUGGCGAAGGCGACUUACUGGAUCAUGACUGACGCUGAGGCUCGAAAGCGUGGGGAGCAAACAGG
rnacentral:rRNA from 1 species